rnacentral:rRNA from 1 species
CCAAUAGCGUAUAUUAAAGUUGUUGCAGUUAAAAAGCUCGUAGUUGAAUUUCGGGAUCAAUAUAUCGGUCGUGCCUUCGGUAUGCACUGGUAUUAUUGAUUUCUCCCUUUUGACGAAUCAUGAUGUCAUUAAUUUGGUGUCAUGGGGAAUCAGAACUGUUACUUUGAAAAAAUUAGAGUGUUUAAAGCAGGCACACGCUUGAAUACAUUAGCAUGGAAUAAUGAAAUAGGACGUUUGACCCUAUUUUGUUGGUUUCUAGGAUCGACGUAAUGAUUAAUAGGGAUAGUUGGGGGCAUUGGUAUUCAAUUGUCAGAGGUGAAAUUCUUGGAUUUAUUGAAGACUAACUACUGCGAAAGCAUUUGCCAAGGAUGUUUUCAUUAAUCAAGAACGAAAGUUAGGGGAUCGAAGACGAUCAGAUACCGUCGUAGUCUUAACCAUAAGCUAUGCCGACUAGGGAUCGGAUGAUGUUAAUUUUUUAAUGACUCAUUCGGCGCCUUACG